rnacentral:lncRNA from 1 species
CACGAUUUUUCCACUAUGUCACAUUAACUCAUUUUACCACCAUUGUUUUUCUUUUAACCCCUACUUAAUUUUUGUAUUGCUUAUUUUGAAAACUACCGCAUGCAUGCACGGUAAUUUCUGAUGUUGGCCCCUUGUAAAUGUGAGUGAUUUAGGUCAUUUACCACCCUUUUUUUUUUAUUUUAACCCCUUUGUAACUUUUUUUAACUUCAUUUAUCACAAUUUUUUUUCGAUUUUGUCCUUUAGUGAAUGUGAGUGAAUAUACCUCAUUUGCAACUAAUUUUUUUUUAUUUUUGUCCCUUGGUAACUUUAAUUACCACUAUUUUUUUUGUUUUCGAUUUGCCUACCUCCAUUUUUUAUUUUCGAUUUAACCACUUAAAUUUACUCGCACCCGUGCAUCGCACGGGUAUACUCCACUAAGUAACAUAUAAAUGUGAGUGAAUAUAACCAAACAGUGACCACCAACUUUUCUUUUCGAUUUGCCCUUCUUUAAAUUUUUUUUUCCGAUAAAUUAUAGUUUCAUCCCUAAACUUUUUUGUUACUACAGUUUGGUGUCCCUAGAAUGCCUAUUUAGUUCAGAGGUAGUCUCUGGAGUUCCUAUAAUUACAUAUUGUCCCUAGAGUUUACUGUAAUUAUAUGUUAGACCCUUAAGUACCAAGUUAUUUGCAAUUUGGUCCCCAUGAAUUUCUUGAUUUAUUAAUUUAGUCCCAAAACUUUUUGAUUUUGACAUUUGGUCAUUGGGAACAGUCCCUAAAAAUAAUUUUAUUUUGGUCCCUAAGUUUAUGUUACCCCUAACUUUUUUUUCGAUUUUGCCCCUACCCUAAUUUUUUUUUUCCAUUUGGUUAGUUUCAAUUUUGCCCCCACGUUUUGAUCCCAUAACUAUUUUUUUUUAUUUCUUUUUUUGGAAAUAAUUUUUUUUUUUCCCACUAAUUUUUUUUUGGGCCGUUUUUGCCCCUAUGAUGCAUUUUUUUAAGGCCAUUUUUUUUUUUUAUCGUUGCCCCUUAACCAUUUUUGUCCCUUACCAAUUUUUUUUUUCAAUUGCCCCGCUUUAUUUUUUUUUGAGUGACAAUAACUUAGACCACUAUUUUUGUCCCUGAUUUUGACUCUAUCCAUUUUUUUUUCUAAUUUUUUUUAUCAAUUUUUGCCCUUGCUUAAUUUUUUUUUCCUUUUUUUUUCGAUUUUGGGCCCCCAUGUUUUUUUUUUGAUUUUGCCCUUAACCAUUUUUUUUCAUUUCUUUUUUGGGAAUAUAAUUUUUUUUACUACCAUUUUUUUUGUGCCGAUUUUUGCCCGCUACCUAUUUUUUUAUUCUAAUUUUUUUCUUCAUUUUGCCCUUUUUUAUUUUAAGUGGAAUAGACCGCCAUUUUAUUUUCCAAUUUGGGCCCUAACCUAGUUUUGUUUUCUAAUUUUUUUUUGCCAAUUUUACCCCUACCCAAUUUUUUUUUAAUGAUUUACUCUUUUUUUUUUUUUGCCGAUAAAACCCUACUCCAUUUUUUAAUAUUUUUUUUGUGCCCAUUUUGGGGCCCAUUGCUGAACGUUGGACUAUUUUAACUCUGUUAGUUGAAACAGAUUGAUCCCUAGAUUGCUAAUAAAUAUAUUUUGACCUUGAGGACCCUGAAAUUUUUAAGUUAUUUUCAAAGUGGCUUAUGUUUUAAACCAUUUUUUUUUUCGAUUUUGUCCCUAUUUUUGCUGACGUAAAUAUGAUAUAUUAGGAACCUUAUGAUCACUAUUUUUCUUUUUUCGAUUUUGCUGUAAAAUUAUUUGUGUAUUUUUUUUAUCGACAUGUUAUUUUUAUUUAUUUCUUAAAUACCUGUUUAUAGAAAUGUGACUGAAGAGGAACUUGCCCGUGCAUAGCACGGGCGCUCCCCACUAGUAUAUAUAUACACACGAGAUUGCUAAAUAGGAAAGGGGGAGGGGGGAGAAGAGAAGAAAAGAAAGAGAAAUGACCAAUAUAUACAUGUAUAUAUAUAUAGAAAGGUCGAGUUUGACCCUGUGACAAAUUAAAGCCUCAAGUUCCUGUGAGAUAAUAACAAUGUCAAACGUCCAUCCGUAUCGAUUAAUUUGACCUAAAGAAGGGAUCGUUUUGUCAACAUGCUCAUCUCCUUGCCAAACAUCACCAUCACUGGUUUACUUGCCAAAAACAAAAAUUACAUAAACAUACAUACCAAUUUAUACACACAGGCACAUAUGUAUAUAUGGAUAUCAACAUACAAUUUUUGUUCUCCUGCAAGGAAUUUUUUCCCCUUCAUUCUGCUAAGAAGUUUAACAGGGUCCAAAUGACUGUUGUAAUGGAUGAACACGAGCUAUUUUAACAGAGAAUAAAAGAAUGGCAAAAACAUUACAAAAUGCAAAAGACAUAGUGAUUGGAAACUGUCAAAUCAUGUCAUCCCAUAAGGCUCCAAAUAAUCAAAUUCUAGAAAGUUCUGACAUGAUACAGAGGCUCCGUUUGAUAAUGUUUAAAAAUCAAGUUUUUUUUAAACUUGUCAUUAAAAAGGCUAAAAUUUUU